UACGUAGGGGGCAAGCGUUGUCCGGAUUUAUUGGGCGUAAAGAGCGUGUAGGCGGCCAAGCAGGUCCGCUGUGAAAACUCGAGGCUCAACCUCGAGACGUCGGUGGAAACCGUUUGGCUAGAGUCCGGAAGAGGAGAGUGGAAUUCCCGGUGUAGCGGUGAAAUGCGCAGUUAUCGGGAAGAACACCCGUGGCGAAGGCGGCUCUCUGGGACGGUACUGACGCUGAGACGCGAAAGCGUGGGGAGCGAACAGG
rnacentral:rRNA from 1 species